CAAAUCAAUACCUAUCAAAAUACAAAUACAAUUUAAAUCAAAGGGCACUUGUUGGGUGCAGAUCCUACUAAUUAGGUAUGAUUUCCAAACAAUUUCUUAAAUUAUUUAUCCAAGGGUUGGGUACCAGGCACUUUACGUGCCUCAGAGUGACUAUUAUAAGCCUCUUGUCAUGAUGCAGCAAAUGUGAAAUGUAGUGCAAUGGAGUAUGAUUUGUAACCUUGAUGAACUAAUGUAAUAUCAAUACACAUCACUCUCCACAAAAAAAAAAGUCUCGUUAUAACGUCUAAUGAGAUAUGUUGAAAGCCAAUAACCUCAUGAAAUGGACAUGUCUCGAUGAAGGAUACAGAUUGUGCUGCUAGAAAUCAAUUAAAAAUGCAAUAUCAACCUGCAGUGGAAGUCACUAAGCCACCAUCGCCAAACCAGAGCUUUGCAUCCUGCGUGGACAUCCAUCACGAGAGCGGCUCCCUCCAGGCUGCCUGUCAGCUCUUUUAGGAAAUGAUUUGGAAACAAYCACAUGCAGAAGAUGCCAUCUGAGGGAAACCUACCUCCCAUAGGAGCCCCAGGUCAAGCAACUGCCUUAACUGGAGAGACGUGCCCUUUUCCACAGGUGUCCUUCUCYGGAUGAAGAUCAUGGCUGAUGUGUCACAGUAGAAUCCAGGACACCAUGGGCAGAGGACCAACCGAAACCAGGACCCACUUGAGCUAAACAGCCUGCCCAAGAAUUUGGAGAAGGCGGAUGAUGUUGUAGGCGAAGGCGGCUUUGUCUUGGAGUUGUGCUUGCUUGCUUUCCCUCUGCCUYUCCCUCUCCCUGAAAAUCCCUGUAAUGUAAAAUGGUUAAACACUGGGGGAAGAAGCAUUCAUCUUCUGAUCAGUAAAUACUUCCUUGUGCUGAAUGGUGCCUGCUGACUUUACUGCUGCUGCAACUUUUUAAAAUGCUUCCAGGAAAUCUCAUUAGAUUUUAAUUAAUAUUAUUAUUAUUAUUAUUAUUAAGGAAUUUGAACAGAGUUUGUAAUAAUUGGAAUUUAGCUUUUUAAUAAAAUCUGCAAAUAAUAUGCCAGCAUGUAUUUGAUCUCAUAUACAUAUCUGAUAAGAAUGCUGAUUUGUAGUAAAAUUUGCAGACAUGGGUCUGUUGUCUUCGGAUUAAUGAAUAUAAAAGCUGGCGGCUUUAUGCUGGCAGUAUUACGGUAAGCCUAUAUUUUUAUAGUGGUUCUGAGCAACGCCUUCAGUAUUUGUGAAGAUUAAGAUUUAGCAUGCAGAAGUAAUGCCCAUUAUGAUAAGAUUGUCCACAGUGAAUUGAGGAGAGCAUUUGCUUAAUUAAAAGUAUUUAUCUUAGAUGAUUUAAGAACUAUGUUCUACUGCCGAACUGCGUAUGUAAAUAUAUUCCCUAUAAUCAGUUAAAUACUGAUGACUCUACUGAAGAGAAGAAGAGAAAGGUAAAAGGAAAAUGAUAGAUCUGACUGCAAGGGGCCCCACGGACCUGGUCCUGGGAUGGGGCAGGUGCCACCACGUGCA